rnacentral:misc_RNA from 1 species
UUAAGUUCAGCGGGUAUCCCUACCUGAUCCGAGGUCAAGCGCAUAGGUGUAGGCUUCGUGGACGCCGCAGGGCGACGCGGCGCGCAAAAUGUGCUGCGCUCCAACGCCAAACUGCCGGCUGCCAAUGGAUUUGAGGCGAGUUCGCGCGCGCGGCGGAACAAACGCCCAACACCAAGCAGAGCUUGAGGGUACAAAUGGCG